rnacentral:rRNA from 1 species
AAUGAACGUUGGCGGCGUGGAUUAGGCAUGCGAGUCGAGCGAGAACCGUAGCAAUACGGGGACAGCGGCGAAAGGGACAGUAACGGGUAGAUUAUCUACCCUCAGGUUUGGGAUAGCUGCGGGAAACUGCAAGUAAUACCAAAUAAUAUCUCCGGAUCAAAGGUGUGAUUCCGCCUGAGGAUGAGUCUGCCUCCUAUUAGCUAGUUGGUGGGGUAACGGCCUACCAAGGCGUUGAUGGGUAGCGGGUGUGAGAGCACGACCCGCGUCAUUGGGACUGAGACACUGCCCAGACACCUACGGGUGGCUGCAGUCGAGAAUCUUCGGCAAUGGACGUAAGUCUGACCGAGCGACGCCGCGUGUGGGAUGAAGGCCUUCGGGUUGUAAACCACUGUCAGAGGGGAUGAAAUGCAGGUGGGUUCUCCCAUCUGUUUGACAUAGCCUCAGAGGAAGUACGGGCUAAGUUCGUGCCAGCCGCCGCAGUAA